UACGUAGGGUGCAAGCGUUAAUCGGAAUUACUGGGCGUAAAGAGCGUGUAGGCGGCCAUGCAGGUCCGCUGUGAAAACUCGAGGCUCAACCUCGAGACGUCGGUGGAAACCGCAUGGCUAGAGUCCGGAAGAGGAGAGUGGAAUUCCCGGUGUAGCGGUGAAAUGCGCAGAUAUCGGGAAGAACACCCGUGGCGAAGGCGGCUCUCUGGGACGGUACUGACGCUGAGACGCGAAAGCGUGGGGAGCGAACAGG
rnacentral:rRNA from 1 species